rnacentral:lncRNA from 1 species
UUUUUUUUUUUUUUUUUUUUUUUGUAAAAAAGGGGAGUAGAUAAUUUAAUUUUCUUGAUAUGUUUAAGAAAAUUGUUCACAUAUGGUUUCAAGUAUGAGCAGACACCGUGUGGUCAAAGUGUGUUCUAACUUCUACAUCAUCAAGCAAAGACUAAAGAGGUACCUAGUUUCAACCCUUUGACCUCUACCCCAAAUAUUUACCUGUAUUAUAAGAAAACCUUUUAAUAUAUUUUUAAACAUUUUUUUAAAAAGUUUUUUCCUGAUAUUUUACAGUCUUUUGUAAAUACUUCAUUUUAAUUGAAACUAUAAUCAUGAAGGAUUCAGACUUCAACUUUUGGAUCCUACUGAUACUCCCUAAAGAAGAUGGAAUGCUAAAAAUUUGUUUGGAUUGCGAUUUUUUGUACAAAAUUUUUUACGUUUUUCGUGAACAUAUUUUUUAAUUAUUUUUUUAUUCUACAUAUAUCAAAUUAUUAUGAUACAUUUUUUUUUUUCAAAAACUUUUAAAAAUAGCAAUAAGUACUAAUUUAUGCAAGUAUUUGCCUUCUAUCAGUUUUCUAUCAUCAAGUGCCAAGCAUAACCUAACAGCGGAGAAGACUUUAAGUGCUCUCUCCUAAGUCGACCCAGUGAUUUUUCUACUAGUAGCUUUCAACAAUAUUAAGUCUCUCCUGAGUCGACCUAGUGGUUUUUUCAUUAGUAGCUUUCAACAAUAUUAAGUCCGUAAUAUAUCACCUUUACUUUUCAGGUAUUUAAUCCUUGAGGAUGUCGAUUUCAGCUAUUUUUACUGUCUUUUGAGGAUUUCUUUGGGCCAAAUCAAAAUUUCUUGGGUCAGUGGAAAUGGCCAGGUUUUCUUUUGAAUUUCAAUGCGUAUACACAGAAAUUAAGUCUUACUUUUUGAAGGAAAUGACAAUGUUCCAAUCCAAUUUGUUCAACACUUCAAUUUUUUUUUCUUUUGUAUUAGUAAUAAGAAAAAAAAAUAAGAAUUUCCUUGUAGGUUUUGCUUAGUCUAGUUACUGUACAAAUGAUCUAGCCUAAUGAUUAUGGACUCUUUUCUUUAGGUUCAAUUUUUGGACGGGAUCAAGGGUACAUUUUUGCAAUUUGCAUCUAUUAAUCAUCUACAGUACUUAAUGUUUUACCUACUUAAUUCAAAAUGAGUUGAAUCUUGCUCAGCAUUAUGGUCCAAUUUGACCUGAAUCAAUUAUAAUAAGUAAGCAAUUACUUCUUUAAUUCUUUUUAUUGAGAAGGAGACAUUUGCUGGCUUACAUUUAAGGUACGGAUUUAUCCUGUUCUUUAGAAAAGACCCUUGUUUUUUCCACCUUCUGAUUCCCCUUAUCACCAAAUUUUCUUGAUUUAUUUCUUACAUCCACAUUUGGUUCAUUUUUAAGCAGAUAAAAAAGAAAGUUGUUUCUAUGAGCACCCUUGAAGAUGAGACUUUUAAAUAUUCUUAUUUUUUUUUAAAACGCUCACGGGGAAAUAUAAUUCUUGGAAAACCUCAAAAAAUAAUUUAGGGGUUACUUUUUUCAUUUUAUUUUUUUUCAAGUUGCUCUGAAAAAAAAAUUAAACCCAAAUAGAAUUAGCAAAUCAUAGUUCUAAACAUAAAAUCCAAUUUGUAAGCAAUGCUGAUCAAUAGUUAUACCAUAUCUUGCAUCAAUAUACUCAUAUUUUCUUAUUUUCUUGUAUAACAAAUGAAAGUACUAUGGAUAUUUCAAGUGGCCAAGGGUAGAUGAAUGCAGGUUCACUUCAGAGCACAAAUUAGGCUUUUGUACUAUAUAAAUUAUUCUUCAAAAUAAAUUUUGGACCAAAACUUUAACUUAAAUUUCAUUUUUUUUUGGUUAAAAUAUGAUUUUCUACUUAGCUCUUUUGAUUUAGAGAGAGGUUAUUUCGUUUGAUUAAAAGAAAAUCAUAUUCCAAUGCUAUUUCUUAACCUUCUCUUAUAAACCUCAAAACCUCUAUCAUUGGGUCCUGUUUCUGGCUCUAUAGGUCAAGAAUAUGCAUUAUUUUGGGUGUAAACCAACCCAAGAAAAGAUACUAUAUUAAUUGUCAUAAUAUAUAUGUACAUGUUUAUCUAUAUAAAUCUUGAAGGAGUAUAUGCAUUUGUGUUUUAACAUGAAUUUCUUCAUUUUUCUUGGGACUAAAUGCUUGCAUUUUCAUGUGGUUCUUGAAAUAUUCUGCCCUCUCACAUGGCCACUCCUUAAAUUUAGCCAUGUAAAAUUCUAGUUUUUUUUUUUAUCCAAUUCUUAGUGUGUGUCUGUGUUUUUAUUGCUUUUAAUUUUCUUUUUCAUUUUUUUGAGGACCAUUGCAGCAUUUCUCUAUCUAAGACUUCUUUGUUUUGCAUAUGUAAGGCUUCUUUUUUAUUAAUUUGUCCAUAAAAGUGAGGAGGAUGACAGGUGCAAUGUACCAUACUUAUUUAGGUUAUUAAAUUGGUAGGUUGUAGCCAAUUUCAAAUUGAAUUGGCCCAUCAAUAGUUGUUUUUUAUUUUAUUUUUAUUUUUUAUGAAAGACCCAUAAAUAGUGGCUACACUACAAAAUUGUCAAAAUUUGUCCAACCAGGAAUUCAUCAAUGAACACCACUAUAGUGGUCAUCAUCUACAUUUUAUACAGUCAAUCAUUAUUUGUAUUUUCUUUACUUUUUUCAAUAUAUAUAUAUAUAUGCAUAUAUACAUAUUAUGUUGGUAAGCUAUAUAUAUAAACUUAUAUAGCUUUAGCUUGAUAAGAAUACACAAAUCAAGGGGUAAAAUUCUUAAAAAAAUACAUAACACCUCUUAACUAGUAACUGCCUACAACUUUUGCCAACUUUUUUAUAUUAUAAUUUAUGAACUUUCGAUUAAUCUUUUGUACUCAUCAUCCUGUAAUACCAUUUUACAUGAGAAUAUUUAUUAUUUUUUUUGCAACAUAAUGUGGAAAUCAUUCAAUAAUGUAUCUUAUCUUAUGGAGUCUGCUAUCUAGGAUUUGUUAUUUCUGUCAGAGUUUGCCAGGAGCUGCAUGAUACUAAUUUACUCAUCUAAUUACAUUUUUUAGGAACAUAAAGAAACUAAUAGCUAGGUUAGAAGAAAUGUACUAGAAAAACAAUUCUCAUGUUGCUUUUCUAAGACUUUCUGUAGAUUGAGAUGGUCUUCAGCCACCUUGUACAAUUCAUUCUUUUUUUGCAGUAUUAGCAAUUGGUCCAAGAAAAAAUUGCAUCCACAUUCUGCACUAAUGGUUGGAUGAUUGAUGUUUUAGGCUCAUUGGUACGUUUUAUGGUAUCUUUGUAGGUUAGAAAUGCAGUGGACCAUGUGCACAUGGGAACAGAUGCUCUUCAAACUGCUAAGAAUUUGCAGAAGAAAUCAAGAAAAUGCAUGAUGAUUGCCAUGAUUUUGUUUCUGGUUAUUGCAGCAAUAAUCGUAUUAUCCAUCCUGAAGCCUUGGAAGAAAUGACAGCAGAUCAAACAACUAAUGGUAACUCUAGUGCUAAAUUUGUUGUCCAAUUCUCUUGUUACACAUACCACUUUCUCACAUGUAUGGUAUCCAGAUUCUUUUUGAUUUCUUCAUCUCCCCAAUAAUCCCAAGGUGUCUGUAAGAUUAUUAUCAGAUACAGCCUCCAAUGAAUGAAUAUAACACAAGAAUUUUUUCGUUCCAGUGCUCUCAGAACCCCUAAGCGUUUGUUUCUUCCUCAAAAGAACAAAUUCGUGGUAACAUGCACUUUUUCUUUUCCAGCUGAGUUCUCACAUCAAUUUUUGCCCUAUUACUCAGAUGAUCUGACUUAGAUCAGACAAGUCUAAAUUGUUUGGUUAUUGUGGAGAAUAUGACAAAAUCAUAGUCUACCUCAUUCUGCUAAUUCUGGAUGGUCCUUGCAUAAUCUGGAGUUAACUAGUUUGGUUUGCUUUAAAAAGCAAAAAAAAAAAAAAAUUGGCGAUGUAUGAAACUUUAGAGGUAGCUUCUUGAACCAUUUGGCAUUUCUCUUACUGUUUGAGGACAAAAGAUUUGAGCUGCUUCUAAAGCCUAGUUAUGUGAUAAAAACUAAAAGGGUACUGGGAUCUAUUUUAUGUAUUGCAAAGGAAACUUUAAGUAUCUGUAUCUAGCUUUUUUGCAUUAUCUGAAUAGUGGGUACAAAUACAAUCUGUGGCAAGUAUUCUAGGAGAAUCAUCCAUCAAAGUACAUUUGAUCUUUUUCAAAGUCAUGAUGUGGUUGCUGAGCACUGAUUGCAGGAUGAGCUUGACAAGUUGUAACAUAUAUAUUCCAAUCAAAUGGAUUCAAGUCUCAAACAGAUGCACUUAAAGCAUGAGACUAUCCAACAAUAUUUGGACCCAAAAAAGUUGGCCAUGAUAAUCCAAUCACCUAUGAAAUUAUUGAAAGCAUAAAAACACAUAUUAUUAUGCACAGUUCAAGAAAUGGAAACACAUAAUUGUCAAGCUUUCCCAUCAUUAUACUCGGAAAUUCUCUCACAAUCUUGACUUUGCAAUGACAACGCUAGCAGCAUCACCAAUGUCUGUUGCUCCUGGCCUAGUCCAUGUAUCUUUGAACUGCUCUUCUGUCACUCCUGUGUAAUUAAUGAAUCUGUUAGUCUCUUUUCUGCUCCUAAGAUAUGAAACUAGGACAUGAAUGUAAUAUACUGAUAAUAGUGAAGAAACAAAAAUUAGAAAGGGGAGGAUGUGAUUUGCCUUUGCCCAUAGCAGCAGUGGAAGUGAUGCCUCCCUGGACCGUCCUCAGGACUCUGUCAUAGUAAUUUGCUCCAGACCAUUUCUGAUGGGCUAGUGUAUCAACCUCAUGGUUCCUUUCCUCUCUUUGAAUUUUCUCCACAUAUGCAAGCAUUCCUCUUCUUGCAAAAUCCUUAGCAAAUGUGUCAACAAUAAGAGCAUCAGCAUGGAAACCAGCCACGGUAAUGAACUGCCAACAAUAGCCCAAUUUGGCAAUUCUGGGAAUGAAAUCUCUCAUCUGCUCAUCAGUCAUUCCUGAUGCAUCCCAGUUGAAAGAAGGUGAGAGAUUGUAAGCCAACAUGAUCUCAGGGCACCUGGACCUCACUCCUUCAGCAAAUUUUGUGCAUUCAACCAAGUCAGGGCCAGCAGUCUCCAUCCAAAUUAGAUCAGCGUAUGAAGCAAAAGCCCAGCCACGAACAAUAGCAGCCGUCACAGAUCCCUUAAAUCUGUAGAAACCCUCUCUGGUUCUAGGCAGGUCCCAAUCCCAGAAAAUAUUAAGUCCCAUUCUUUCAGCAAUCAGUCUUCCUUCCUCGUUUGACAAGCAUUUCUCGAAACUUGAAUGAUACAUCCACUCGUCCAACCUCCUCUGCUUCUCAGCUUCACUGAUAUUCAUCCUCUUGAUUCCAUCAACUACACAAUCAGAAAAUGUUUUCAAUCGUGCCAUUGAUAGCCAGUUAUCCUCAAUAGCUUGAAGCUCUGGUCCUGUUUUACCAGCAGCCAUUGCUUCACCUAGGAUAGUGGCUAAACUCUUCCCCUUGAGUUGUGGAUUAGUAACACCCAAAAUGAACUGAUGAUCUCUAGUAUCAACAUUGGUUUGGAUUAAUGUUGCGGCUUCCGCAUCGGUACGAGCAACUAAAACUGUCUCUGUACCCAUGAUAUCAAAUUGUAGCCUGGCAGCAACCAGCCUAUUAACGUGUUCACUCACUGCAACAAGAACUUUGCCAGCCAUGUGACCGCAUUUUUUGGUAACGGAGGACUGAUCCUCAAUAUGGACUCCAGCAGCUCCACGUUCCACAAAAAGCUUGCAAAGCUUGACAGUUGCAGUUGCACCACCAAAUCCAGUAUCGCCAUCAGCAAUGAUGGGCUUCAAGUAAUCAAUAUAUGGAGUUCUAGCCCUCUCUUCACGGCUCAUGCCCAUUCUGGCCUCCCUUUGUUUCCUGUCAUGGUAUUGUUGAGCAAAAAAAAGGUGCUCAACCUUGUUAGGAACGGUAUCAUAGGGAUAAUCAGCAAGGUCAGGUCCUGGUUCAUUUGAGCUAGUGUGGGUGGAUGAGCAUUGCCAGCCAGAGACAUAGAUGGAGUCCAGAUGCUUGGCCAUCAUGGUGACUUGAACAGGAUCAAGAGCACCAAAGGUUCUUGAUGCUGUGCCAUUGGCCUGGUGAGUUUUGAGAGUCCUCCAGAGCUUCUUGGCCAUCUCAUUUGAUCCAUAGUUUUGCCUAAGGUUGCCGCGCAGCGCGACGACAUCCCUUGCUGAAUAUGGUCUUUUCGUGAGCUUGAAUCUCUCAGAGUUCCACCAGGCUUGCACCUCUGCCACUUCUGAUUCAAAUCGCCCCUCUUCUUCCAUAAUCUUCAAAUACAAUUUGGAUAAAGUAAGGUAGAGAUCCAUUAGAUACGGUCAAUUUUCCUCAAUAUAAAUCAACACUAGUAAAGAUCAAGUCAUUGCAAAAAUAUUGAAUCCCUUGCAACUUCCUAAAAUGUCAAAUACAUUCGCCUAGACUUUCUAAGAGGAAUGAAACCUCAUUUUAGGUCUUAAAUUUUUCUUAGAUGAAAGGCAGAAAAAUAUUUCCAAGUCAUUAUUCUUCCUAGAUGCAGUCGCUUGCAGGCUAUCAUCUUUAGAAAACACCAGAUAUAAUUAUCAUGAAAUUGAUUAUAAAAAGACUAAUGCUCUGAUUCUAAAUUUUGAGUUUCCAGCACUGCUAGAGAAUUGUUAAAUCGGAUUGAAACUAGAACUCAGAGGAAGCAUAAUUGAAUUAAGGAUGCAAUAGAUCAUGCACGAUUCACAGGCAUGACAAUUAAGUUACUGGGACAAGACCAGUUCAGGCUAGUUGGAAAAUAAUUUCUUGAUUCCACUUUUAAUUGUCACUGUCACACAAGAGUUAUAGUUUAAAUAUUCCAAUAAUCUUAGAGACAAACGGUCCAAGAUCAACAACAUCAAGUAAUAUGAAAGCAAAAGAAAACCAAAAGGGAUUCAAUAUUAACCUCCAAAACUUAAUAAACAUGAGUUAUGAUGAUGAAGGCGUGAAUACACCUGCAUCUAACCUAGGGAAAUUGCAUGUCCAUACCAAGAAACCAGAUAUAGACAGAAUAAUAAUAAGCAUUGCAACUGAAAUUGCUUUAGCUUACAGCCUCUUCUACAUGUUUUCCAAUCAGAUCAAAUAUCUAAAGGUAACAAUCAACAAACUAUCUAUACAUUUUUCUUCCUGUCCAAAACUAACUUAGCAAGACAGCAUGUUUCUAUAGAUAAUAUUCUUGAUUAAGCUAUGAUAAACAUGAGCUAUAGAAUCCCAAAUAACAUGUCGAGAGACUAAGAUAUCAGGUUAGAAGACCUGAAGAGAGCUCAAAAUGCAGUUUCUAAAGGUCUUUUUACAAAACCUUCCUAAAGAAUAAUAUCAAAGAAGCCUAUCUCACGAUUAUAUGCACAGAUAAAGAUGCACUGUGGCCAAAUAUUUCUAUAUUGGACACCCUCACAAGCUGAAAGCUGAGCUCAAGAAAAGCUCAGACGGAUACACGCCUGAUCAUGAAAUGGAAAAAGCUGAAAAGGGAUGAAACUUUAGACCAAGAAAUGAUUGAAAAGGAAAAGCCUUGUUGCAUAUCUUACCAUUGAUGGAACCGAGAAAGAUGAAGCCAUGGCUAGAAAUCUAUAUUUUUUUUAGCAAAGUGUUAGAUAGCUAUGCAAAUGUUAUUGCUAAUGUGUUGAAAUGGUUCAACCAAAGCUCCAAUUUAUACUGCGUGGGAGGACUAUUACACUUGUUCUAUCAAGUGUAAAAAAUUUUAAAAAAAAUUUUAAAAAAAAUAUAAAAAAGCCUCCCAAUAAAGAUAAGGGAAAUGCAGAAUCCAAGAAAAUUCCACCUCAUUCAAUCUUUUAUAGUUAUCUAUUUAUUGCCAAGAAGAUGUAGAUAAAAUAAAGUGUUUGCUUAUUAGAGCUGCAAUUGUAGCAGGCAGCUGGGCGGUUCUGCAACCAUUACACACUUUUACCCCUAUGGUUAGUCUUUUUGUCCUGUUCCUUCGUGCAUGACCUCACUCACCGUUCAUGCUCCUAGCGGCCUAUGUAUGUUUCCUUGUUCGAGUUUAAUGCAUUCGGAAUUAUGUAAGCAAUACAAAUAUUAACUUCCUUUAAUCAUAAAUAGGGAUGGCAAUGCGGGCACCGGCUCCGCAGGGGAGUAAUGGGGCAGGGGUGGGAACGGGGGAAUUUUUUUUCCCCAUUUUAAAUGGGACAGGGCCUGUCCCCCACUUCAAUUUGUUAAUAUAAAUAAAUGUAAUAUAUUAUAUAAUCUAAUAACAAUAAAUUAUUAGUGAGAUUGCAUUAGUUUGUUAGCUAUGAAGAAGAACAUGAUUUUAUCAUUAGGUUUGAUUCAGAAGUGUUCCAUUCAUUUGAGAUGGCUGCUAUUGGACUCUUUCGAUUUUAGCAAUCUUACCCUAAACGUAAAAAAAAUACAGGUUAUUUUUGUUUUUGGUUUUGAGCCCCAAUGGCAUCUAAUUGUACUACCACUCCGAAUGCUUGUUGGUUACUGUAUAGCAAGAGUGCUUCGUUGUUGAGGUGGUAAUAUUCUUUCUUACACAGAAAAUUCCUAGUUGAUGUCUGUCACAAAUAUGUUACCCGUUUUAUGAGCAUUUUUAGAUGCUAUCUAUACAAUUUAAUUGAGUUUUUUAAUUUUUUUGAUAUUUUAUUUCAACACUUUUUGUGUUUCAUUUUUCAUUUUUCACUUUUUUCAGAUUGAUAUUUUAUUUUGUUUUUUGAAUUUAGGUUUGAUCUAUUAAAUAAAAGCUUUUAGAAAAAAAUCAAAUUAUCACCCGCAGGCACCCGUGAGGUAAGCGGGACGGGGGAUAGGGGAAGUGGAGGCGGGAGGAUGGAACGGGGGCAGGGAGAGUUUUUUGGCAACAGGGCAGGGCAUCCUGCCCCAAACCCGCCCCAUUGUCAUCCCUAAUCAUGAAAACAAAAGGAAAUAUGAUUUUACUCGAGGAUUUUAAGGUGGAAGAUUAAUAUGGUGGAUAUUCUAACUAAAAAAAAUGUGGCAUAUAUAACGUUCCAUCAGAAACUCGGGCUUCCACAAUUGCUGACAAUUACCUUACGCAAUAUAUAUGCUAAUACAACAAAUAUAGGCAGUAAUAGACGCGUAUUUUAUCAAGGGAGGUUCUCCCAACUGUUACCUAAUUUGACAUGUUUUUACUAGUGAUAGUGUUAAGUAAUAUUCUUUAUUUGUUUAUUUAAUCAUACACAUAAAAAUUGUUCCUAUGACCAAAAGAACAUUAAUGUUGAAGAGGCAGAUCUAACCGCAAACCUUGUGAUAUAGAGUGAGUGCUAAUACGGCCAUCCGAAGCGGCAGAAACCGGGGAGAGGGGCCAGUGCACUUGAGGUCUAGUACGGUUUGAUUCGGUUAUUGUAUUUUUUAAAAAUAUUAUUUGGUGUAUAGUUACAUUAUUAUUAUAUUCGAAAUAAAAGUGAUGUACAUAAAUAAAAUAUUUGACAUAUAUUUUUUAAUAACAUUAUGAUGUAUUUGUAUAUUUAUAAUUUAAAUUUGUAAAUUUGUACGAUAAUUAUUAGAUGAAAUCACACAAAACACAAUUAUACUGAGCCAGAAAUUGCCAAUUAAGGCCAUUAAAUGUCAAAUAGCCUCAGUUAGACCUCCAAAAUAAGUAAUUUGUGUCAAUGUAGUCCUUCCAAACAAGUUUGCUAAUUUUGUGGAUUGCCAAUUUUGUUACCUUGGAUAAAUGUUGAAAGACUUUUUUGAUUGAAGUAAUUGGAUUAAAGUACACGUAUGACCUCUUGUCGUGUUUCCACAUAUUGAAAAAUGUUUUGUACUCAUCCAUAAACCAUCUUAUCCUCCUUGCGUUCUCAGUACGUAGCUAGAUUUCUUUUAACCCUUAAACUUGGAUUUGUAUUGCAUGAGCUCUUUCCCUGCAUGUAUCAAUACGAGGUUCUACGUAACUUUUAUGUAAAAGAAGUUUCCAUUUUAUUCCUUCGAGUUAUAAUUUUAGUCUUCCAAUUUUUUUGCAUCAAAGUAAUUAAGCCUGCAAGUGCUUUUCACUCCUCAAAACAUGAAAAGAUCAGUUGAUAGAUAAAGAGAGUUUAGUUGAAUCAGAUUGAAAUAUAAAGUUCCAAAUCCAAACACAAGAAACUUUCAGAGAUAAAUCGAAGUUGGCUAAAACAGUAAAAGUUCGAGGAAAAAAAAUCAUUUGGUCGACAAAAGAAAAAAAAAUGAAACUUUUUAAUAAAUAUGACUCAGUCUUUACCAACAAUCAUUUUUCAAAAUUUUUUGGACCCUUUUGCAAUAUACAAAUUUUAAACUUUUUGGCCUCUUUCGUAUGAAUUUUUUUGUUAUCAUAACGAUAGAAUUUAUAUAAACUAAUCUAAGGGAAGAGCCUCUUUCGUAUGGAUAUGGGUUCGAAAUUUCAGAUAUCAUCUAACAUCCUCCUCAGUGUCCCAUCACUGAGCAAGCCAUUAGAAGAGAUAAUGGAGAAGCAAUUAAUUUAUUCUUGUUUUUACCCCUCUUCAUAACCUACGGACACGGGGCACAAACGGCAGCAGCCGUUUGUGCCGGUUUUAUUUAUUUUCAAUUGCACGUAAUUUUUAUUGCACAUGAUGUAACUUAUUUUGCACACGACGUAAUUUUACAACACUUUUUUGCGAGUCCCACACAUGACGUGAAAAUCGAGUUACAUGCUGUAAUUUGAGCCGCACAAAUUUUUGAAGUCACAUCGUGGCCGUGAAUCUUCAGGAACAGUUGUCUCUGACAACCGUUCCUGCCCCAUUUCCAUAACCUAUAAACCGUGGUGGCAUGAAACCCAGAGAGAGAGAGAGAGAGAGAGAAGGAAAAUGCCCAUCUUUCUCUUGUGAAGGUCAUAUGAAAAUGAUGGACUCCAUUGGAUGAGAUAGAAUGUGGAUAAAAUUUCAUUACAUAUUCUUUUUAUAGUUCAAAUUUUUUAUAAGAAUAUUCAAUAGAUAUUUUUUUUAAAAAAAAUUUAGUAUGUAAGAUAUGGGACUUAAGAAACGGAAAAGAUAAGGAAGAUUUGAAAUAAGAACCUUCAGUAUUUCGGAUUUCAUCUUUAGCCAAGAGAUUUUUUAUCGGAGUAAAGUAUUCAAUAGAUAAAAGUUUCAAGAAUAAUUGGAAACAAUACAUGUCCCAAGAUUUAAAUGAAACAGAGAAAAAGCAAACUUUGUUGAGAAAAUAAAAGGAAAAGAGCCCAGAGAAGAAGCAGAAAAGUAGUUUUUGAUUAUACUGACAAGAUUACAGUCAAAAAGAAGCAGCUGUUGGUAGCAGAUCCAACGUCAUGAACUGCAAUGGAGAUUAAGAUUAUUUAUUCACUCAAGCAGAUUGCCAUGACGAAUGGCACAAAAAGAUGAUUCCUACUUCCUAACGGAGCUGCUUUACAGGCAAGUGGCAGGGUAUAUUUGCAACACAUGUAGAUGAAGCUGAGAAAAAAGUUUGGAUGACGGUAUUUUUUUUUAUUAAUUUCCUGGAGAAGAGUUUUUCUCUCUUUAUUUGUUUUUUUGGGCUAUAAUUUCUUUCUUCUUGGAGAAAGUCAGCAGAAACUCUUUUUUUUUUUUUUUUUUUAGAAAAUGACACGUAAAUGGUAACUAUUGUCAAGUGCACAGUCAUCAGAUUAGGUCCAAUUUUGGAUGAGAAUUUCCCAAUUCUUGAGUCCAACUUUGUAGCCGAGGGUUUGGCAUUCCAAGGCGAAGGAAGUGAAGACUAAGCUAGAGUUGUAACGACUACUUGACAUGUUUGCAUUUACACCUUGAGUUGAGUUGACGUACACGAAUAAAAUUUAUACAUAUAAAAAAAAAGGAAUAUAAGCAUACAUCAAAUUAUAUAAAAAUACAAGAAAAAUAUAUCAUGUUAAAAAAGAAUUAGUUGACCAUUAAAGUACCAACAACUAUGACAUUAACACCAGCCAUUUUAUUAUCUGAAGUUUUUGGGCACAUUUACUAUGUGUGUAAUUUAUCAAACGAUCAUAUAUAAAUCUUGGACAACUUUAAAUAAUUUUGUGGGAUGUGAAAAGAGUUAUUGAAUACCACAUUUAUUUAUAAACAAUAAAGGUUUGGAUCGCAUCCAUUAGGCAAACUCCGGGCAUCCAUCCCUCCAUCUACCUAAGUUUUCAAACUCGGACUGGAUCGCUCAAUUUAAUCGACGGAACUGGGAAUCGGUGAGAAUUUGGUCCAAACAUAGUUAGAAAAACCGGCUGGUAAAAGGUUCAAUCAAACUCGAUCAAUAACCGGGUUGAUUUGGGAUUUUGAAAGCCCCAUUCUUGGUUUCCGAAAGUUUUGCAACUUUUUUUCCCAAAAAAAAAAAAAAAAAAGAAGAAGAAGAAUCACCAUUCUUUCCCUAUUUUUCAAACAAAUCUAUAACAGUGAACUUGCUGCCAUUUAUAGAGAUAAACAAGCAAUACAAAUCUAAGAUCAAGAAGGAAAAUUUGCAGAUCUAAGAUCAAGAAUCAAAAUAAGAGAAGAAAAAAAGAAAUGCAAGCGGAAAGAAGAGAAAGAAAUUAAUAAGUUUUCAUGUUUUUUGUUUGAUAAAUAUAGAAAAAAGAAUCGAAGAUGAGGACCCAGAACUAUAAGACAAAAUUGAUAAAAGAUAAGAUUAAAAGAAAGUGUAAAAGAGAGGGAAUAGGAACGGAAGAACCGGGAAAAACGUGAACGCAACUACAGCAUAUGUAGGCCAUAGAGUGAGAAACUAGAGAUAGCUACCUUAAGUUUUUUAACAUUUCAUUUUUUCCCUACUACUUUUUAAAUUAUUACCAAAGUUCCUAAAACUUUUUCUAAUGUCAUUUGCAUCAUCAAUUUUGAUGUCUAUUUUCAAACAAGUCUCAUACACAAGUUAUAGACUUAGAAUUUGAAAAUAUCAACUUGGAGCUUGACUUCAAUGCUUUUGAAUUUUAUUAAGCUAUGUGUUAUUCCUAAUUUGUGAGGUUAUUGGCUGUGUUAUAUGUACUUGAGUUUUCAAAGUUGAUUUUGUUUUGUGUGUACGAUAUGUAGGAAAUGUGUAAGAAAAAAAGGAAAAUACCAAGUGUAUGUACUUUUUAUAGCAUUUAACAUUAUAUAUAUUUAAUAUAUAUAUUUUAUGAUAUCAUAAUGAUGUCAUCCGAUUCUUAACCAGGUUCGACUCCUGUCAAAUUCAUUAACCUUUGACCCCUGAGUUUCGUUGAAUUAUUGUCUGGUCUGAGUUUUAAGACAUAGCUAUCUACUUAGACAUUGUAUAGUAUGUGUGCUUAUAUUCGAAUUUAAAAUGGAAAUAGUUGUUACGACAAUCGUAUCUCAAAAAGUCAUCAUUGAUUAUUUGAAGUCUUUUUUAGGAGAAAAGCCCUCGAAAGCACGUAAAACAAUAACUACAUCAGUAGGAAGGAAGGAGAGAAGGAUUUUGAUUGCUAUCUUUCGAAUCAAACUAAAUAAUUGAGGUGAUUUUCAAUAUUAAUUAUCUUUCAAGCUUAAAUAGUUGUUUAUCCAUGGAAAUGUCGUUGCCUUUUUGACUAGGACUAAAUCAAUUUUGCAUCCAUUAAUAUAAAUACAGGCAGCACAAAAGUACCAAAUGAAGUUAUAUAACAGUUGUGUGUUGGAUAUGAAAAUUAUAAACCUUAAACAAUUUCAAUCUAUUAAUUAAUUGUCAAUUAGCUUUCAACUUUAGUGCCACAAAUUCUCUACCUACCAAUAGCAAAAUUCCAUGCAGUCAAGUUUUAAUUAAUCAAACCAAUUAUCACCACCCUCUUCCAAUAAUUUGAAUUGGAGUUAUAUAUCAAAAAAUUAUUUACUCACAUCACACACAUUUUUAUCUUUUGAAUUAUCUUUUUAUCCCAUAUACAGAAAAGUGUUAUAAUAAUUAUUUCAAAUAAUAUUUCAAACAAUCUCCAAUCCAAACCAUCCCCUUGAUAUCAAAUUUUUUUUUUUUCAAUAUAUGAGUGUCCGGGUCAAUUCUAGAUAUCAAAUUUCUUGUUUUCAUAAUCAAUUUAUGCAUGUACGUAACAAAUUGUGUGUUGCGCGUGUACACAAUCUAGUCAGACAAAGUAUGGGAAGAUUUGGACAAGACGUCAGAGAAGUGGUGAGGCUUAGGCAAAGGGAUAGAGAUGGCAAAGUGGAGUACGUUACUGCUCCUAGGCUGCAAACAAGGCAACGAGGUCCCUUUUGGGGUAGGCUUGGAGUUAAAUUACAUACUUCUCGUUUUUUUUUUUUUAAUAUGUGAAAAUUCUAGAAGAUGAUGGCAUAUGAUCACGGAAUUAGACUACUCCCUCCAUGGUAUAAAAUUUGUUAUUUUUGUCAUUUUUUCUUAUCCGAAAUUAGUAGUCAUUUUAUAGAAAUAAAUUUAUAUAUUUUAAUGAAAUUUUAUUUUUAUUUUUCAUUUGAUCCGUUACUUAUUCCCUAUAAUUAUUAAUAUAUUAAAUAACAAAUAGUCUACUUCUAAGGAAAUAAAAGAAAAAUAAGAAUUUUUUUGUAAUAAUAUUAUUACACAUAAAUUACACGUUGUCUCAAAAAUGACAAAUCGGAGAGCAUUUAUUUCAAGGGUAAAGGGGCAGAUGAAUAAAUUAACGUUGAAUUUUUUCUUGGGAUCCGCAACAUCUGAUUUGAUUGGCUCGUGGAAGGAUUGGAAAGAAAUGGUGCUUGUCUUUUCAGCAUUUCAAGAACAUAACUAUUUGGCUUUUCCUUUAAUUUUUUUUUGUUUUUGUUCCUUUGCAAAUUGUGUUACUCCUCUCUCUCUCUCUCUCUCUCUCUCUCUCUCUCUGCCUUUAAAAUAAAAUAAUAUGUGAUUUUCAUAGACCACAAUCUUUCGUUUGAUUAAUAUUUUUUCUCUUUCUCUUUUCGCUAAGAUUAAAUUCCAAAAGAAAAUUUACUUAGUUGAGGUAGCAAUCAUCUUUCCAGCAAUCAUACUUGGCUCGGACCAAGUGGUGACAGCGGUAUGUUGAUGAUUGGCAAUAAAUUGUCUGAAUAAAUGGAUAUAAGAUCGAAUAAGUGUGCUUAAUACAUUUUGAAUCCAAUAUGAAUGAAUAUCCUCGAAGUUUUUAUAUUGUCGAAUUUUAAGUAAUCAACCAAAAUCAUUUUGCAAUUGUUACCUUAGCUAAAACUUAGGCCCAGUUUUAUUACUCCAUUCGCCACUUAAAUUUAAUAGAUUCAAAAUUUAAUAUAUACAGAUGCGUCUGAUAACUGAAAUGGAACAUCUGAAUUAAUUAAAUAACAUUGAAUUUUUUACUCAAAAUUUAUUUUCAAAAUAAGUGAUAAAUUAUUUACUUAUCACUUAAUAUCAUACAUAAUCAAAUGUAUCAAAUUUAGUACUUAAAAAUUUAAUAAUUUAAUAGAUUCAGAUUUCAAAAAUUUUAAUUUUAAGAUUUUAGUUUUAUCAAACGCACCCUUAAUCUAGUGCAAAUGAAAAAAAUUUAGAAAAUUGCCAUAGUACUUUCUUGGUAAGCCCUUCUCCAAAAGCCACAUUUAUUAUUUUGCAUAAAAAAUCAUUAUUAAUUUAUUAUGCAGUGAAAAAUAAAUGGAGAUACAACGAUACAUCCAAACAAACACAUAUAAUUGUAUCUAGUAACUAGAAAUAAUGGUAUAAGUAAGAUUAUCUAUUUUCUAUAGGAGAGAUCCCCAUUUGGUCUUGUCCAAUAUGAUUUUAUCAUUUUUGUAUCCUCAAGGAACAACAUAAAUAAGAUAUAGAUCCCAAAAAACGUAUACAGUGGGAGCUAGCAACUAGAAAUAAUGGUAGAAGCAAGAUGAAUAAACAACAUAAAAGAGAAAGUUGAUCUCAUAAAUAUUUGUUAACUGAGACAUAUUGUGUUGAGGGCAAGAAAUUAUCCCCUCCCCCCCCCCCCCCCCCCCAAACUCAAAUAUUUUAAGAAUUGCACCCCCUAAAUUUUUCAACAUUGCUCUCUUUCUUUAUAACUUUUUUUUAAUAUACUUUUAUCUUUGCCCCCACUGACCUUGGGUUCUUAUUCCACCACUAUUUCUUAAUGAUAUUUUUUAAAAAUUUUUGGGGUACAACUUUUUUUUUUUUUUUUUUUUUUUGGGUAAUAACAGGCCCGUGCCAAAAACAAUCAUGGCUUCAGUUGAUACUUCAGGGCCAGAAUCACUAAUUGGGCCAUUAUGUUGGGUCUGCCGAGAAAUAAAUAAUCUUGUCCUUAAAAAACCGAAAAAGAAAAAAAAAAUAUUAACCUUUCCCCAAGGCAAGUGGUUAAUGUAUUACAUUUUUUAAGACUUUUUAUUUAUUUAUUUUAAUUUUGGUUACCAAUUGGGACUAGUUUAGGGAUUGGGAUUCUACAAUCGGCAGAUGAAUUGCAGCAUGCAAUUCAUGGACCAGAUGGAUUCAAUUAUAAGAUAUUUGCCAAAAAAUUUUUUUUUUAAUGUAAGACAUAUUGCAAAAAACUUAAAAAUCUUUACCAUGAAAAUUGACCAAUUAAGGCAGUGUGAUGAACACUAGCAUAAAAUGUUACAAAAUAUAACAGGGUUCCUUAAGUCCAAAAUCAAUAUUUUCCUAAGUUUCUGGUCUUUUUUUUUUUUUUUUUAAAAAAGAGGUACUUCAACAUGUCAAAAAUGAAAAGAUUUUUUUUGUGGCUUUCCAAAUUUGUAUUUGCGAAUCAAAUCAAAUUUAGCAACGUCUCUUUUAACUUCUUGCACAAAGGUCUUUGAACUUCUUAUCCAAAGGUCAACUUUUAAGGUACAUAAUAAUUUUGUACCUUUUUUAGUUCCCAAUCCAAUAAUAUAUAUUCCCAUCCAGGCUCGGAUUUACUAAUUAACAAAUUUUGCCAGAAAAGCAUUAAUAGAAUGGGCUUGUUGAAUUAGUUGCAAUAGUUCAUGGGCUAAUUAAGAUGAAAAAAAGUUUAAUGGUCCGGAAGAGAAUUUGGAAUAGUUUGAUGGGCUACUAUGCACUUUACCCAAAUAAUUUGAUACCCGUUUCAUUUCAUGGGCUAAAACUCUAUCCCAAACUUUGAGGUUCUUGGAACAAGAAAAACAUGUCACACGUGACCAAAAAAUGGGGUAUUACUAUGUUGGUAUAGACUAUGCACAAUUUUAUGAUGUAAUAAUUAGGUACAAAUUACAUUGGAUUGAGAAAAAAUUGGAGGGUCAAUUAAAUAACAAGAAUAGGAUUCAAGAAUACAAGUGUUCCAAUCCCAAUUGUGGGAAAAUGUAUACUGCCCUCAAUGCUCAAGAAUUGGCUUCUUUGGCACUAGAUGAUGAGUGUUUUCGUUGCGAGUUUUGCAAUGGGGAAGUUGUGGAGGAUAUGGCUGACGAAGAAAGGUUGAAAUUUUGCAAGAAAAAUGAGAUGUUGUAGAAGAGGAGGCAUGACCAAAAUUUGGCCCAAAAAAAAAAUGUAAGGUUCAGAUUUCAUUUUAUACAUCAUUUUUUCACAUCAUAUGUGAGGCGGGGCCUAUAAAAAUUUAUUUUAUAAUUACAUAUUGUUGAAAGUAAGUUAUAUCGUGUGCAUUUUACACAAAUCUGCUCCGAACAAUUUCUUGGGGCCCUUGUCCGAAAGAAGAUGGAGCUGCAGCUUUGGCCCAUGAUUGAUCAAGUGAAUACAGUAAAGGAUUUACCUGCUCCCGAAUUUGGAAGUCUACAAGAAUGACAAGGUGGAAAAAUGUUUGCGGGGUAGACAAAGAUUGAAGUGACUUUCUCUGGAAAUUCUACAUCAUCAAAAGAUGAUGAUUGGGUAGAUUGGGGGGAAGGUUGAAGGAUUGGUGCUUCAUCAUGUCUUAUUAAUAAUUGAGACUAGUAGUUCAUUUAUUAAUUGACUUUUCCAGCUGUUGUACUAUUCUGCUGGUGGAUUAUAGAAACUUGUACAAUGAAUUCAUGAGUUGAGUAGUUAAACUUGAACAAGUUUUUUUUGUUAUAUGGCCAUUGGUACCAAAGAGAAGACUUGUGAUGUAAGUCCUGACAGAAAUUCAAUUGACUGCUAGAUGGAUUUGAGAAAAAAGAGCAAGAAAUUUUAAAAUAUCCAUUUGCCUUAUGAUUUGAUGAAUAAUGGGAAAGAAAAGAAAGGACAAAAAAAAAAAAAAAAAAAAUUGAAGUGCAAAACUUCAACUGGAUAGUGCAAACAAAAGAAAUAAGACUUCAUAAUGCAACUCCAGAACAAAACAGUAGCACUGCAAUGAGCCAUACGCAAUCUGCAGGCACCUAUCAAGUAAAAAAAAACCAGACCAACAAGCACCAAACCCCAAAAGAAGGGGAAAAAAUAAAAAAAACCAGACUAACAAGCUCAAGUUCUUGAAUGUUUUAACAGAAAGCAGAAGUUACAUGCACAAACAAGCAAACAAGAUUAUUUCCCAGGUU